rnacentral:lncRNA from 1 species
CUUUAAUAAGUCUACCACAACAGAUAUAAGUACAUAUCAAAAUAUAAAGUAUUUAAAAUAAUAUAUAUAUAUAUAUAUAUAUAAAACAUAUCAGUAUAUUACUUUUAAAAUAUAAAAAAACUGGAGUAGGGCUCUAGGACCACAUGGUCCCAAUGUGGCUCUGGCCCCUAGAGGGAGGUCCCAAUGUGGCUCCAGGACCACGCAGGCCCGCUUUCUUUUCCUUCCACGUGGGCUGCAUAUGAAAAUUGAUGGGUUGUUCAUCUUCAAC